rnacentral:SRP_RNA from 13 species
UCAGGCUCGAGAAGGCGAUGCACGUGGCCAAAAACAGAAGGUGAAAGCGCCAGCUCCCCGCCGCAGCGAGAUAGCUCCUGUAAGUCGCCGCUUUGGCAGCG